rnacentral:lncRNA from 10 species
UUUGACUAAUAAAGGCUCGUCUGUUAUUAGACUGUAUUGAGGAAGAAAAUAGAUUUUGGAAGUUAUGAGAACUGUAGAGUGUGAGUUGAGCAUAGUUUGUGAUUUUGAGGGCCUCUAAAAGUAUUAAAGCAGCGGCAGCCACUGCAUGCAGACAUGAGGGCUAGGCUAAAACAGUAAGGUCAAGUUGUUUGGACAGAAACACUACAGGGUGUGGUCCUGGCUCUUGUGUAAGAAUUCUGACCGAACUAACCAUGCCUAGGAAGGAAAGGAG